UUCCCAGAAUGCCGGGGUUACAAGCAUGUACCACCAUGCCUGGCUCAUCUGUAGCCUUUGUCAUGCUAUACAGUAAACCAGGAAGUAUCAAUAAAGUCUUUCCCUGAGUUUCUGUGAACCAUGACAGCAAACUAGUUGAACACUAGGGCGGUCAUGGGAGCCCCAUUCUGACCAGUCAGUCAGAAGCACAGGUUAAACAACCUGGGCUGUGGCUGUGUCUGCUGCGGGGGCAGAAGCGGGGAGGUCCUGAAGGAUUGAGACUCACCCCGUAGGAUCUAACCUCAUCAUCAGGUGAGGGAGAUCAAAAUAUCCCAACCCAGAUGUAUUUCUGUGGAGUAUUUCAAGUUGGCUGUGCAGAGAAACUGCUGCAGAUCUGCCUCCCCUGCUAGACUCAGCCCCCGACGUGAGGACUGCAUCCUCUCCAAUGCAUGCCCAGGACCCCCAGCCCCGCCUGGACACAGCUAGCUCAGAUCUGCAAGUAAGGAGCUAAGGGGAGACACUUCCCAGGCCGUUCAUGCCUUCCAUAUCCUUGCCCUCUCAUCUCCUCCACUCCCCGCAUUCUGAAAGCUGGGGCGCAUAAAGAACGGGAUUAAAUGGAGAUGAAGUUUACUUUAGCUUUGGAGACACGGGUGUGUAAAUGGGAUCAUCGGUUCCCACGCAGCAACGCACGGGGUCCAGUAACCUUUCCCCUGCUCUUUGAAGGCGGGUCUUGCCUUCUACAAAGUUUGAAAAGAACAGAACCAGCCCGGGCUGGUUCAGGCAGCUUAAAGAAAGCGUGAGUAACCAUAGGAGUCACCGAGACUGACCGAGGGUGCGGGCUGAAUGGCCAGCCCACUGCAGAGGAAAAGCUGGAAGGGAGAGAGGGAAUUUUAAUGCAGUCUUUGAAAUUUGCAGCCAGGGAUAUAGUUCAGCGGCACAGCGCCUGCCUGCAAUUUGUCACGCACCCAUAAUCGCCUGCAGCUUGGGUAACUGACUUCUAUGAAAAACUAUAACGAGGUGGAGAUAAUAGCAGCACCCACGUCAUGCCUGUUGUAAGAUUCUGGCGCAACCCAAGACCCAGAACAAGCGUCUGGAACUUUCGCUGGCCUGCACACUGUGUGCCAGGAUUCGCCUAAACGUAGCACAGGCAUGCAUCCCACGAUCCCUGUAAUCCCCUGAAGGAAGUACUAAUACGCCCAUCAUACCUGCCCAUGAGGGAAUCCAGAGGUCAAGUCACCUGCCCAAGGUCACACAGCUCCUCGAGGUCAGUGCAGGGUGUGCUCUGGAAGCAGGGAAGGAGAGAGUGACUGGCCAUCUCUGAUUUCCUCCACCAGCCUCCUUCCAGCGUUUUCUGUCCCUCUCUGGACCAUCUUCCUCCUCACCUGUACCAACUGCGACCCGCAAUUGCUCGAGCCCGAAACAGUGGCCUGAGCCUGGGGGCGCCCCCUGGUGGCCGCUAUGCGUAGCGCGGUAAAGCUGAGGAGCACGCGGGGAGAGGGAGCCGCCAGGCGAGGGUCCCGCUGGGAUACGGGAAGGUGGAUGUCAGCGUGGAGUUCACUCAUUCGUUUCUUCAUCUCGGCCCAGUGCAAUCACUCUAUACUAGGCGGCCAGAAGUGGAGCAAAACAGCUCCAGAGAGCAGUGGGAGAGAAAGGGAAGGAGGGAAGGACAGAUGAGUAACUGACAUCUCACAGCACUUGGGCAUCGUGUGACCCUGGCCAAAUGUUUCUGCCCUUGAGCCUCAAACCCCUCAGAUCAGGAUGUGAAUGGCGGAUUACUUUCCAAGAAUUCGUGGGAGCCCGGAAUGGCACGUGCCUGUAACCCCAGCACUCCGGGAAACUGAGGCAGGAGGCUCAAAAGGUCAAGUUCAACCUGCCCGAUUUAUCAAGCCCAGCUCGAGAUUAAAAAAUAAAUAAAUAAAAAAUAAAAAGGGCUGGGGAUGCA